rnacentral:rRNA from 1 species
GACGAACGCUGGCGGCGUGCUUAACACAUGCAAGUCGAACGGAAAGGCCCUGCUUUUGUGGGGUGCUCGAGUGGCGAACGGGUGAGUAACACGUGAGUAACCUGCCCUUUACUUUGGGAUAACUUCAGGAAACUGGGGCUAAUACCGGAUAGGAGCUCCUGCUGCAUGGUGGGGGUUGGAAAGUUUCGGCGGUUGGGGAUGGACUCGCGGCUUAUCAGCUUGUUGGUGGGGUAGUGGCUUACCAAGGCUUUGACGGGUAGCCGGCCUGAGAGGGUGACCGGCCACAAUGGGACUGAGAUACGGACCAGACUCCUACGGGAGGCAGCAGUGGGGAAUAUUGCACAAUGGGCGGAAGCCUGAUGCAGCAACGCCGCGUGCGGGAUGACGGCCUUCGGGUUGUAAACCGAUUUCGCCUGUGACGAAGCGUGAGUGACGGUAAUGGGUAAAGAAGCACCGGCUAACUACGUG